rnacentral:rRNA from 1 species
GCACCCGCGGUAAUUCCAGCACCAAUAGCGUAUAUUAAUGCUGCUGCUGUUAAAAAGCUCGUAGUUGGAUCAAGAGUUGGACAGUGCACGGCGGCCCCGUUGGUCUAGCUUGGAUCCGUUCAGGUUAGCCGCGGCGGAAUCACCCCGUGCGCCAAACUGUCCACUCUAACAGGCCGAAACGGUUCCCUGUGAGUAGGCUCCUUCAUUGGGGUCGAAAGCGCCUACGCAUCAACCAUAUGCAUACGGGACGUCGGCCAAAGUUACUGUGAACAAACCAGCGUGUCCAAAGCAGGCUUUCGCCUGAAUGUUCGAGCAUGGAAUAACAAGGGAUCGAUUCUCUCGGUUCUUUUUGUUGGUUUUUAACCCGAGAAGGAGUAAUUCAGGCCACGGUGUCUGAGUUGCGUUACCCGAGCCCUUGGGUGAGGCCCCAAUUAGGCCGUGUCCUUACGGGAUCAAUAGGGACUGACGGGGUCGUACGUACUUCCGCGUCAGAGGUGAAAUUCUUAGAUCGCGGGAAGACGAACUUCUGCGAAAGCAUUCGACAAGAAUGUCUUCAUUAAUCAAGAACGAGAGUGUGGGGAUCGAAGAUGAUCAGAUACCGUCGUAGUCCACUACUGUAAACAAUGCCGUCUCAGGAUUGAGAAGUGAACUGAAUGACUUUCACAGCACUAACCCCUGAAACGAGAAAUCAACGAUUAUGGGUUCAGGGGGGAGUACAUUCGCAAGGCUGAAACUUAAAGGAAUUGACGGAAUGACACCACAAGGCGUGGAGUAUGCGGCUUAAUUUGACUCAACACGGGGAAUUUUACUAGGUCAGGACAAUGUAAGGAUUGACAGAUUGAGAGCUCUUUCUCGAUCCAUUGUGUGGUGGUGCAUGGCCGCUCCUGGUUGGUGGAGUGAUUUGUCUGGUUGAUUCCGUUAACGAACGAGAUCUCGACCCUUAAAUAGGUGCCCAUGUCGAUUGUAGUUUCGCUCCUGCUCGCUUGCGAGACUUGGACGGGACGAGACUGUGGGAGUACUUCUUAAGGGGACUGUAUGCGUUUAUAGCAUGCGGAAGAGCGAGCCAAUAGCAGGUCUGUGAUGCUCCUAAAUGUCCUAGGCUGCACGCGCACUACACUGAUGCAAUAAACGAGUCUGAUUGCCUUCUGGCAACCUACCCGGAAGCGGGUGGGAAAUCUUUUGAACUUGCAUCGUGAUGAG